ensembl:snRNA U6 U6 spliceosomal RNA
AUGUUCACUUCGGCAGCACAUAUACUAAAUUUGGAACGAUACAGAGAAGAUUAGCAUGGCCCCUGCCAAGACCACACUAAAGCUACCAGCACAACUAUGUUUAU